rnacentral:rRNA from 1 species
AUUUUCCGGUUGAUCCUGCCGGAGGCUACUGCUAUUGGGAUUCGACUAAGCCAUGCGAGUCAAGGUGUCUUCGGACGCCGGCGUACGGCUCAGUAACACGUAGGUAACCUACCCUCAGGACUGAGAUAACCCCGGGAAACUGGGGCUAAUAUUAGAUAGAUAAAAGGUACUGGAAUGUUCUUUUAUCCAAAGCUUUUGCGCCUGAGGAUGGGCCUGCGUCCGAUUAGGUUGUUGGUGGGGUAAUGGCCCACCAAGCCUACGAUCGGUACGGGCAGUGAGAGCUGAAGCCCGGAGUUGGGGACUGAGACAAGGCCCCAGGCCCUACGGGGCGCAGCAGGCGCGAAACCUCUGCAAUGCGGGAAACCGUGACAGGGGGAUCCCAAGUGCUCAUGCAUUGCAUGGGCUGUUCUUUGGUCUAAGUAACCAGAGGAGUAAGGGCUGGGCAAGACCGGUGCCAGCCGCCGCGGUAAUACCGGCAGCUCAAGUGGUAGCCGCGAUUAUUGGGCCUAAAGCGUUCGUAGCCGGAUAAGUAAGUCUUUGGUUAAAUCCUGCAACUUAACUGUGGGAAAUCUAGGGAUACUGCUUGUCUUGAGACCGGGAGAGGUUAGAGGUACUCCUAGGGUAGGGGUGAAAUCCUGUAAUCCUAGGGGGACCACCUGUGGCGAAGGCGUCUAACUGGAACGGGUCUGACGGUGAGGGACGAAACCUAGGGGAGCGAGCCGGAUUAGAUACCCGGGUAGUCCUAGGCGUAAAUGAUGCGAGUUAAGUGUGGGGGCAUCUACGAGAUGGCCCUGUGCUGUAGGGUAGCCGUUAAACUCGCCGCCUGGGGAGUACGGUCGCAAGGCUGAAACUUAAAGGAAUUGGCGGGGGAGCACCACAAGAGGUGGAUGAUCGGUUCAAUUGGAUUCAACGCCGGAAAU